AGGAUGAACGCUGGCGGCGUGCCUAAUACAUGCAAGUCGAGCGGGAGAAUCAUCCUCCGGGAUGAGGAUCCAGCGGCGAACGGGUGAGUAACACGUGGGCAACCUGCCCGCAAGACCGGGAUAACUCCGGGAAACCGGGCUAAUACCGGAUAGGCCCUUUCCCUGCAUGGGGGAAAAGGGAAGGCGGCUUCGGCUGUCACUUGCGGAUGGGCCCGCGGCGCAUUAGCUGGUUGGUGAGGUAACGGCUCACCAAGGCGACGAUGCGUAGCCGACCUGAGAGGGUGAUCGGCCACACUGGGACUGAGACACGGCCCAGACUCCUACGGGAGGCAGCAGUAGGGUAACUUUUCCGCAAUGGGCGAAAGCCUGACGGAGCAACGCCGCGUGA
rnacentral:rRNA from 1 species